GACAGAGGGGGCAAGCGUUGCUCGGAAUUACUGGGCGUAAAGGGCGCGUAGGCGGGAUGGCAAGUCGGUCGUGAAAUCCCUCGGCUCAACCGAGGAACGUCGAUCGAUACUGCUGGUCUUGAGGAUUGCAGAGGAGACUGGAAUUCCCGGUGUAGCGGUGAAAUGCGCAGAUAUCAGGAGGAACACCGGUGGCGAAGGCGGGUCUCUGGGCCGAUACUGACGCUGAGGAGCGAAAGCGUGGGGAGCGAACAGG
rnacentral:rRNA from 1 species